AUACGGAGGGUGCAAGCGUUAUUCGGAAUCACUGGGCGUAAAGGGUGCGUAGGCGGUUUGAUAAGUCUGAUGUGAAAUCCUAUGGCUCAACCAUAGUACUGCAUUGGAAACUGUCAGACUAGAAUACUGAAGGGGCAGAUGGAAUUAGUGGUGUAGGGGUAAAAUCCGUAGAUAUCACUAGGAAUACCGAAAGCGAAAGCGAUCUGCUGGGAAGUUAUUGACGCUGAGGCACGAAAGCGUGGGGAGCAAACGGGAUUAGAUACCCGAGUAGUCC
rnacentral:rRNA from 1 species